AACACCUUCAUCCUUAAUCAUUUUAAUAACCAUACAUCAUCAAAUACUUACACAUCACUCAUUAGCAAAAUCAUCACUACAAACAUACAAAAUAACUAAAUUCCUAUACAUGUCAUAACUUAAACGUGUUUCGAUAUAAAAUACCGAGCAGUUGUAGUUGAUAGUGUGGACGAUCUCCGACUUCUUUAGGAUCCUUGAAGUAGCUUUGCAAUACUAUAAGAGAAAGAAAUAAAAGAAGUAAGCAUAAAGCUUAGUAAGUUUACUAGCAAAUAAAUAACAAUAUUUAACUUAAAUAAUUAAACUCAAUGUCUAUAUCUCUAGUUUACUCUUUAGUUAAUCUCAUACUAGUUCUCUUACUUGUUUACUUAGAAUAUUUGUGUGCAUAACUUACUCAAUCCUUGCUGCAUCGUUGAACAUCAAUUGAUAGUAUAAUAAGUUCUUAAGUCUUACAACUUACCUGAGCUUGCCAUUUAUGCUUUAAAAACAUGAUUCGUUUACAAGCCCGUUGAACUACAUUGGAAUAAUAAGGAUACUCGGGUCUCUUCUGAUAAUAACAUGCCAAAGCCAUGUCCCAGACAUGGUCUUACAUGGGAUGUUCUCGUGAUGGUGCCCAUGCCAUGUCCCAAACAUGGUCUUAUAGGGGACCUCUCAUCUCGGUGCCAACGCCAUGUCCCAGACAUGGUCUUACAUGGGACCUCUCGUCUCGGUGCCCAUGCCAUGUCCCAGACAUGGUCUUACAGGGGACCUCUCAUGAUCUUAAGGAUGCCAAUGCCAUGUCCCAGACAUGGUCUUACAUGGGAUCUCUUUACCCAAAUGUCAUGACAUUCGUAUCCAGUACCAUCCUUAUGUAUCAACGGGACUUUUAAAUUUUAAUUCUCUAUCAUUUCAUGCUUGGAUCAUCAUCAAAUAAAUUCAUAAAAUAAAUUCAUAAUUGCUGGAAAUUAACAGCAUUAAUAAUAAAUAUUGAAAUAUUGCAUUUAUUUACCGUAAACUUACCUCGGUACCAAUUAUAGCCAAAUUCACCAACUUAGUCUUCAACUUUAUUCUUCCCUUUGUCUAACCUCGAGUUUCGUACUUCUUGAUCUAAAAUAGUAAAUUUAACUUAUUUAAUAAUCACAUUCAUCAAAAUAGCCCUCGACUCUAACUUUUUCAAAAUUACAAUUUUGCCCCUAAACUUUUACAUAAUUACAUUUUUGCCCCAAGGCUCGGAAAUUAAACUUCAUCUCUUAUUCUUAUGUUUUAUAACAUUCUGAACAUUUUUCCCUUCUAUGGCAACAUCAAAUUCUAAUUUAAUCCCUUAUCAAUACUAAUUUUAUUUUUGCAUUCUAACUCUAUAUUCUCUCUUAAUUCUUACUAUAAAGUCAAUUUAAUUCCUCAAUUUCACCAUAAAUCCCUAAUUUCGGGAUUCUUUCAAUUUAAUCCCUAUCGAUUCAAAACUUAUAUUUUAUUUUACAAUUAUGUUCUUUACUAACUUCUAACUUGAAAUUAAAUCAAUUUAACCCCUAACUAAACCUAUAUAUUUUUCUUUCUCAAUUCAUACCCUUAUUCUACCCAAUUUCUUGCUAAACUCAUAUUUAACUAUUUAAUUUUUAUCAUGUUUUCAUAAUUUCGAAUUUAUUUCAAAUUAAUCCCUAAAAUUCAAAACUUAUAGUUUAGUUUACAAUUCAAUCCUUUAUUCAAUUCCAAUCAAAAUUUCUAUCAAAUACAUCCCUAAUUUAACAAUUUAUUCAACAUGAACCAUGCUUAAUAAUCUACUAACUUCCAAAAUUUCAACUUAAUCAAGUAGUAUUUUGUUCUAGGAUUUCAAAAAAAAUAUCAAAAUUAAGAGAAAAUGGGAUUAAAUUGACUUACCAAAUUACUUUGAACCUUAAAACCCCAAAUUUCCCUUUUUCUUUUCUUUUCUUUCUUUCUUUCUUUCCUUCCUUCCUUCUCUGUUUCGUUUUGCUCUCUGUUUCUUUCUUUCUCCCUUCUCUGUUUUGUUUUGCUCUCUGUUUCUUUUCUUUCUUUCUUUGUCAUAUAUAUAUAAUAAUAAUAUAAUAUAAUAUAAUAUAAUAUAUUAAUAAUAAUAUAAUAUAAAAACAUAAUUAUUACUUACGCAUGUAUAAUAUAAUAUAUAUUUUAAAUUAAAAAUAUCUUAGAUUUUUCUUUUGUUAUGCCGCCUCAACUUUAGAAAAAGGCAUAAUUGCCUAUUUGGUCCUUUAACUUUUCUUUAAUCUAUAAUUAAACUUUUAUCCUUACUUCAAUUUAGUCCUUUUUCAUAAUUAACUAUCAAAGCGUUAAAAUUUCUUAACGAAACUUUAAUAUUAUCCUGUUGACACUCCGUAAAUAUUUUUAUAAAUAUUUACGGCUCAGUUUAUAAUAUCGAGGUCUCGAUAUCUCGUUUUCGACCCAAUUUACCUAAUAAUUUCUUUUAAAUCACAAAAUUCACUGAUUUAAAAAAUAUUUCUAAAAUCACACUUAACUUAUAAUUAUUAAUUAAUAAAUUUUUCUAACUUUUUCAUCAAUUUUAGUGAUCUCAAAUCACUAUUCUGACACUACUAAAAUUUGGGCUGUUACAACUCUUCCCCCCUAAAAAAAAAAUUUCGUCCUCGAAAUUUCUCACCUGAUACAGGCUAUUAAGUCAAAUCUUUCUUCCACCCUUUCAAUCGAAGUCCAUAAAAAUUAAUCAUAACUCAUAUCACUUCCGAAAUCAUAUCAGAACUCAUUUUAGAACUUGAUACUAUGCCUGAACUUAACUGAGUAACUCUGAUGUUCUCUUGCCAUCACUUUUUCACUAGUAGUAUGACUACUAAGAAAUUUCCAGUAAUUGUCUGUCGAAACAUAACUGAGAAACUCGAAUUAUCUUAUUUAAUACCUUUGAACAAAGACCUUGGAAACCCAUCCAGCGAGAAGAAAACAGAUAAUUUAAACCCAUUGUGGAGACCCAAAAUAUAUUGAUUCCUUCACUGAUGAUUACUCAACUUUUCACUGAAUAACCCACUCUGAUUAGAACAACUGAGUCGAUUUUAUCUAUCAGAUAAUAACAUUUCAGAAUAAUCCAUUCUUCUUGUUGUCAAAACAAUCCAGAUAUACCAUAUAUCAUAAUCCUCUCGGAACACCAAUCGAAAAUUUCCACUAAUAGCAUUUAACUCAAACGAAUUUUGACAUUCCAUUAUUGACUUGUUGACAUAAUUUCAGAAUUACCUGAGAAAUGAAAACCAAAAUACAAGUUUGAGCUCAAUCUUCCUCCAUCUAUACUUUUGCCGAUGUCAACCCUUUCACGAAAACUAGAAAGGAAUUAUAUAUAUAAUAAAACUAUUUCAAUCAUUAACAUCGAAGCUUUGAACUAUACCGAAGCCACAACCAUCAAAUAGAUUAAAAACUAUAGAGCUAUACUAGGACCGACGUUCCAACUAUAUAGAUAGAACAAUACCUCAACAUCAAUAGUGCACUCCAAAAUAGAUGAAGAAAACCGAAGUAGUCCCAAUAACAACCAGUGCAGUAAUACAACUUCUAAAAUCUGAGAUCCAUAUCACCGAGUUCCCAUGAUCAAACCAAGAUUUAUAACAGUAAUAAAUAUAAUUACCUCCGGCCAAUGAAUAUCUUGUACGGAUAAACCAUGGUUAAUAGAUAAGAUUAGACCAUAAGAAUAAUAAGAAAACCGAGAUAAUAAAAUCCAAGAUGUGAAGCUAUACUAAAUUUCCGAUAAGAAAAAACCACAUUGAAUGAUAAAGAGAUCGAUGAUAUCCCAGAGAAAAUCCAAAAGAAGAAUAUCACUUGUAAAUCCAAAAGAAGAAUAUCACUUGUACGUACUAGGAAUAGUUGUGAUAAAGACUAUAUAAAUUCCAUAUAUAUAAUUCGGAGCUUCAACCAGUAGAAAUAGAAAAUAGCUUCAUAUGAGUCUUAUCAUCAAAUCUUCCAUCGAACAUAAUAGAUUAGAAAACCAAAGAAAGAUAGAGGAAUCCCGAUCAUGAAUCAACCAGACUAAUAAUAAUUUCGUCUAACAAUACGAUUAGCCAACCUUGCUAUAUGAUAAGAAUCAUAUAUGAAAAUAAAUAAUUGCAUAUACCUCUGAGGAUAAAAGAGCAUAUAGAAUACCCAUAUAGAAUACCCAGAAGAGAUCAUUGUAAAAUACUCGACUAUAACAACUGCAUUCAGAUAUGUUUGCAAUUUUCAACACAAUCCCACUGAUUACUAAAGUCAUCAAUAAUCUCACAUUAUCUCAAUCAUUAAAGAAAUCAAUUCAGAAGAAAUUCCGAUUAACCUGCUCUUUAAAUUUUAUACCUGAGUAAGUCGGUUACUCGUGAAUAGCUUCUUCCUUAAUAGCGACAUUGCAAAUCCCAAUAAUCAUUUAAAAAAAAUCUAAUAUCCUUUCUAGAACUCUCUUUACUUGCUAUCCCAUCCACAAUUCUGACUGCAUUAUUAUUCCUUCAAUUAUUGAACUCUUCAAUUUCACACUUGUAAACUUAAUGAAUACAAUUCUUGUAAAUUCCAUUGUUCAGGUGAGGGGGUGAAGGUCGUAAAGCCUCAAAAUUUGACUCUUAUAUAUAUACUUAUAUAUAUAUACACAUAACAUGACUUUUAUCGUCAAUAUAUUCAUUACAAACAUUCAUUUCAUACCUUAUAAAUCUUUACUCAUAUAGGCAACUCCCCUUUCUCUAUCAAAUACUCAAAUAUCACUUUCAUCACUGUCGGAACUAGAUCAAUUGGAGACAUUUUUGUCUAUUAGUAAAACAUUUCUCAUUUAUCAAGGUUACUCUUUUAAGUGUAUAAAUGUAUAUUUUCAUCCUUAUCUAUAAGAAUUACUAUUUUAAAUCUCCAUACAGAACUAAAUAACAUUUACUUAUUCACAACUUUAAAUUAUUUUAUUACAAAUACAUACUUCUUUAUUCACAGCUUUGUAACUUAUUUUUCCUUUAUAAUCAUUCAUCAUUGAAUCAAAGAUAAUCUUUUAUCUUGUAACAUUUUUUUUUUAGCAGAGGCCCAGUAGACGAAACAGAACACUUAAGAAAUAUGGGACUGAUAUAACAUCUGAUGGCACCGUCCCUUCUGCGGGAAUAGGUGCAUUACUCUCUACUUCAUCUGUACUAGCUCGUUCAGGAUCCAUAACUAUAAAAGAAAACAUUUUAAAAUCGUCAGGAGUCGUCACACUAUCAAAAUAUAUAAGUAUGGCAUGUAUAGGUAGACUCUUAUUCUUACUGAGUAUUUCCGAGAACCGACUAAACCUGCUCUGAUACCAAUAAAAUAUAACACCCCUUACCCGAGACCGUUUCCGGAAUCGAGCACGAGGCAUUACUUAGCUUAUCUUACCAAUUCGGAGCAUAAAAACUAGGUUUGAAAAUUUAUUUCAUUAUUCGCAGCAAAUCUGUCUAAUCGCGCAGCAGUUACUAAAUUAAUUAUAACUUGAGCUACAGAACUCGAAAUUUAAUCCCGUAAAUUUUCCAUGAAACUAGACUCAUAUAUAUACUCGCCAUAAAAUUUUUAGAAUUUUUGGUUCAGCAAAUUAGUACAGUUUAUUAGUUAAAGUCUCCCCUGUGUCACCACCAGACUGCCCUGACCUCUAGUCACUAAAAAUAAGUUUUCUCACUAUAGGAUUUUCAUAUGAAGUUCUUACUUGUUUCUAUAGAAAAUAGACUCAUUAAGAAAUCUAAGCAUGUAAAUUUCAACUCAUAACCAUUUUUUUACAAUUUUUUAUUAUUUUCUAAACUCAGAACAGGGGACUCCAAAAACAGUUCUGACCCUAUCUUACUAAAAUUCACAUAUCUUAAAAUAUAAAUUUCUUUUUUUCUACACCGUUAUUUUUCCAUGAAAAUAGACUCAACAAGCUUUAAUUCCAUAUAUCAUUCACCCUCUAAUUCAUUUUAUACUAUCUUGGGUGAUUUUUCAAAUUCACGUCACUGUGCUGCCUGAAUUCUGUUUCUUUGCAAAAUUUUAUCCUUUCAUGAUUUCCAUGCAUAAUUUAUCACCUAAUAUUUCAUAACAACAAACACCUUCAUCCUUAAUCAUUUUAAUAACCAUACAUCAUCAAAUACUUACACAUCACUCAUUAGCAAAAUCAUCACUACAAACAUACAAAAUAACUAAAUUCCUAUACAUGCCAUAACUUAAACGUGUUUCGAUAUAAAAUACCGAGCAGUUGUAGUUGAUAGUGUGGACGAUCUCCGACUUCUUUAGGAUCCUUGAAGUAGCUUUGCAAUACUAUAAGAGAAAGAAAUAAAAGAAGUAAGCAUAAAGCUUAGUAAGUUUACUAGCAAAUAAAUAACAAUAUUUAACUUAAAUAAUUAAACUCAAUGUCUAUAUCUCUAGUUUACUCUUUAGUUAAUCUCAUACUAGUUCUCUUACUUGUUUACUUAGAAUAUUUGUGUGCAUAACUUACUCAAUCCUUGCUGCAUCGUUGAACAUCAAUUGAUAGUAUAAUAAGUUCUUAAGUCUUACAACUUACCUGAGCUUGCCAUUUAUGCUUUAAAAACAUGAUUCGUUUACAAGCCCGUUGAACUACAUUGGAAUAAUAAGGAUACUCGGGUCUCUUCUGAUAAUAACAUGCCAAAGCCAUGUCCCAGACAUGGUCUUACAUGGGAUGUUCUCGUGAUGGUGCCCAUGCCAUGUCCCAAACAUGGUCUUAUAGGGGACCUCUCAUCUCGGUGCCAACGCCAUGUCCCAGACAUGGUCUUACAUGGGACCUCUCGUCUCGGUGCCCAUGCCAUGUCCCAGACAUGGUCUUACAGGGGACCUCUCAUGAUCUUAAGGAUGCCAAUGCCAUGUCCCAGACAUGGUCUUACAUGGGAUCUCUUUACCCAAAUGUCAUGACAUUCGUAUCCAGUACCAUCCUUAUGUAUCAACGGGACUUUUAAAUUUUAAUUCUCUAUCAUUUCAUGCUUGGAUCAUCAUCAAAUAAAUUCAUAAAAUAAAUUCAUAAUUGCUGGAAAUUAACAGCAUUAAUAAUAAAUAUUGAAAUAUUGCAUUUAUUUACCGUAAACUUACCUCGGUACCAAUUAUAGCCAAAUUCACCAACUUAGUCUUCAACUUUAUUCUUCCCUUUGUCUAACCUCGAGUUUCGUACUUCUUGAUCUAAAAUAGUAAAUUUAACUUAUUUAAUAAUCACAUUCAUCAAAAUAGCCCUCGACUCUAACUUUUUCAAAAUUACAAUUUUGCCCCUAAACUUUUACAUAAUUACAUUUUUGCCCCAAGGCUCGGAAAUUAAACUUCAUCUCUUAUUCUUAUGUUUUAUAACAUUCUGAACAUUUUUCCCUUCUAUGGCAACAUCAAAUUCUAAUUUAAUCCCUUAUCAAUACUAAUUUUAUUUUUGCAUUCUAACUCUAUAUUCUCUCUUAAUUCUUACUAUAAAGUCAAUUUAAUUCCUCAAUUUCACCAUAAAUCCCUAAUUUCGGGAUUCUUUCAAUUUAAUCCCUAUCGAUUCAAAACUUAUAUUUUAUUUUACAAUUAUGUUCUUUACUAACUUCUAACUUGAAAUUAAAUCAAUUUAACCCCUAACUAAACCUAUAUAUUUUUCUUUCUCAAUUCAUACCCUUAUUCUACCCAAUUUCUUGCUAAACUCAUAUUUAACUAUUUAAUUUUUAUCAUGUUUUCAUAAUUCCGAAUUUAUUUCAAAUUAAUCCCUAAAAUUCAAAACUUAUAGUUUAGUUUACAAUUCAAUCCUUUAUUCAAUUCCAAUCAAAAUUUCUAUCAAAUACAUCCCUAAUUUAACAAUUUAUUCAACAUGAACCAUGCUUAAUAAUCUACUAACUUCCAAAAUUUCAACUUAAUCAAGUAGUAUUUUGUUCUAGGAUUUCAAAAAAAAUAUCAAAAUUAAGAGAAAAUGGGAUUAAAUUGACUUACCAAAUUACUUUGAACCUUAAAACCCCAAAUUUCCCUUUUUCUUUUCUUUUCUUUCUUUCUUUCUUUCCUUCCUUCCUUCUCUGUUUCGUUUUGCUCUCUGUUUCUUUCUUUCUCCCUUCUCUGUUUUGUUUUGCUCUCUGUUUCUUUUCUUUCUUUCUUUGUCAUAUAUAUAUAAUAAUAAUAUAAUAUAAUAUAAUAUAAUAUAUUAAU
rnacentral:lncRNA from 1 species